AGCAGCCGCGGUAAUUCCAGCUCCAAUAGCGUAUAUUAAAGUUGUUGCAGUUAAAAAGCUCGUAGUUGAAUUUCGGGAUCAAUAUAUCGGUCGUGCCUUUGGUACGUACUGGUAUCAUUUGAUUUCUCCCUUCUGACGAAUCAGGAUGUCAUUAAUUUGGUGUUAUGAGGAGUUAGGACUGUUACUUUGAAAAAAUUGAGUGUUUAAAGCAGGCAUUAGCUUGAAUACAUUAGCAUGGAAUAAUGAAAUAGGACGUUUGACCCUAUUUUGUUGGUUUCUAGGAUCGACGUAAUGAUUAAUAGGGAUAGUUGGGGGCAUUAGUAUUCAAUUGUCAGAGGUGAAAUUCUUGGAUUUAUUGAAGACUAACUACUGCGAAAGCAUUUGCCUAAGGAUGUUUUCAUUAAUACAAAGAACGAAAGUUAGGGAUCGAAGACGAUCAAGAUACCGUCGUAGUACUUAACCAUAAACUAUGCCGACUAGGGAUCGGAUGAUGUACUUAAUUUUAUAAUGACUUCUACG
rnacentral:rRNA from 1 species